GUUGGGCGACCUUGCCUCAUACCAACACAUGAUGCUACCAGUCAGCUGAUCUCUGGUGGUUAAGACUUCCACAUUCUCUCAGAGUUAGUGCCUCUUUCUCUAGUUCCCAUUUAAGCAUCUGCCCCACGUAGGGUGUAAGCAAUCCCGUGUUGUUUCCUCUGGCAGCCCUCUUUGGGGGCUGUCAGCAGGGCUCCCCGAUAAGUAUCUCAACAACAGUCUUCCUGUAUGAUUCUGACCUAAUACGUGAUCAGCUGUCUGUUUCUCUCCACAGCAAAGCGUUUGGAAAAUGACACAGCCUGAAGAAAAACGGGAAUUCAAAAUCUGGCUCCAGAUUUCCUUGUGAACCAGUCUGCUCCUCCGCAUCUCUAGAAAGGGACAGUUCUCCUGUGCUGUAAAUGAUACCUGAGGCUUGACAUCUAUGCAGUCUCCAAAGACAGAAUCUAAAAGUGAAACCUACAAGCUCAGACCUUGGGGAGAAGAGUCCAGUGGAACUGAGCAACUGAUGUAG
rnacentral:lncRNA from 1 species